rnacentral:rRNA from 1 species
UACGUAGGGGGCAAGCGUUGUUCGGAAUGACUGGGCGUAAAGGGUGCGUAGACGGUGUAGCAAGUUAGAAGUGAAAUACCUAGAGCUUAACUCAGGUGCUGCUUCUAAAACUGCUAUACUUGAGUGCAGUAGAGGAAAGUGGAAUUCCUAGUGUAGCGGUGGAAUGCGUAGAUAUUAGGAGGAACAUCAGUGGCGAAAGCGACUUUCUGGACUGUAACUGACGCUGAGGCACGAAAGUGUGGGGAGCAAACAGG